GAAAUCGUAAAUGCAACAUACAUAAAAUACGACUACUUAAAUAUACGUAUUUUGUAACCGAAAAAAAUAGUGACACAGUCUGAAAAAUUGCAUGACGUAAUUUUCGCGCGUUCUGUCAGCUAAGGCAAACAUCGCACAAAAAAACAUACUCCUAUAAAUAUGAGGUCGAAUUACGUCUAAUUAUUUGGACUAACAAAAACAAUGCUAGUUGUGAAUCGAAACAAAAACAAACACUGGAAAACGACGUGUAGACCGGUGUGGAAGGCUACCGAUUGCUGUUUGGCCGACACUCUCCUUCCGUUACUAAACGCAAAAAGAAGUUAUUUUGGAUGGAGACGGUUGAAAUAAAAGAAAAUGUUAUUACUGGCUGAAGGACCAAAAUUGAAUGGACAGAGAACACGGUUGACAAAACUCAAACAGAAGUUGUGUCACUCAGCUACAUUAAAACAUAAAACUGAAGGCAGAAGCAACAACUACAACAUGUGAAGAAUGAAGCAACAGCGUAAUAAAACUCGGGAGGAGAUGUUGAUGGCGUCAAGGGGAAGAUAUGCCAUUCAGAGGGACAUAAGCAAUAAUCAUGAGGAACUGGUUUCUCUUUAAAAAUCUUCUAAAUUGCUCAAUUGUUUCUGGAACUUUUAAUUGAUUUUACAUGUGAUGGUGUUCAGUGAGUCCAUGAAACUUAUUAUUACACAUACUAUCAUGUAAGAUAUAAAUUGUCAUAUGAAUUAUAAUA